AGGGCUGUCCUUCGUCCUUCGUGGGGCGCCCUCUCUAUGAGCAAGCAAAGCAGAAUUGCACUAGCUCAAAAGAAACGGGAGAUGCGCAAAUUCAGAGACAUCUCCAUCUCACUCUCUGUGCCCCAGCUGUGGUGGAGCCUUCCAAGCUCCCGAGUCAGGAUGCUCGGGACACCGACCCUGCCUAGUGCCGUCCUCUUGGUCUUCUCUGAGUACCAAGGACAACAGCCAACCAAGCAGAAGUAAAGACAGGGGAGAAAGGAACCAAAGGCCCAAAGGCAGCAAGAGAGAGAGAGAAAGCCCUCUUGGUGCACCAUAUGCUGCUCUGCUAGAGAAUCCAUAAAGAAAUGGGAAGAGGAGCCCUAGCAAAAGCACAGGAAACAACCGGGAGAGCAGCAGCAUCUCAAGAUCCUAACAAAAUCCGAGAGACAAUACGAGAGGCUGUUAAGGGAACCACCAAACGCUGCCAUCUUAUUUGGGAAGCACUCUAGCCAGGUCUGCCCGGUGCUUUAAGGACAUUGAAAUAGUGCCCUUGCCUUGGCCGUGGCACUGUAACAAAAAUGCCACAAAAAAUAGCCUUCACGUCGCAAGGCUAUGCCCAAACUCCCAAGGGCACCGUCUUGGCAAACGUGAUAAAACCAUAACCCAGUUCAUUUCAGAGGAACAAAACAACUGGAAUGUCAAGGGAACUAAAGAGAAAGGGCAGAAAUGGAGGACUAGCUCUUCUAAAGCAACGAUCGUCAAACCCACUUGAUGAUGGUUUCAAACAAAAGGAGACAAAUAGAUCAAUGGAAUGGACUAGACCAGGGAGACUAUAAAAUAAUAGAACCUAGGAACACAGUGUUCAACAAGACAGAACUCUCUGGUCACCUUUCGUCCCCAGAUGCAAUCUAGGCAAAUAAUGGUAUGAAUCUGUAUUUUAUCCAGACAAAAUGAAGAAUGCCAUACAGUCGUUGACACACACACAAAUCUCUGAGAAGAAUGGAAAGUAAUCUGCCAGGAAUUGUACAGAGACUAGCAUUUUAUAUCAUAUUCUGCAAAAAACUCAGAAUAGGUGAUCUGAAAACGAAAGAUUAUACUAUUAGAGAAAAAAAAAAAAAAAAAACAAAAAAAAAACCCAACCCAAACCCACUCCAUUUAAAGAUUAGACAUUUUCACUGGCCUCCCACAUUCCUUCACUUCUUUCAAAUCCCAGAUAAAAUCCUACUUUCUGCAGGAACCCCUUUCAAUUCUAAUGCUAGUGCCUUACCUCUCUCUGUUGGCCAACUCCAGUUUAUACUGUCUAUAGCUUGUUUAUACAUAGACAUCAUUGUGUUAUCACCCCUCCACUAGAUUUUAAGUAGGAACUGUCUUUUCUCUUUCUUUGUACCCUUUGCACCUAGAAUGUUGCCUGGCAAAUAGUAGGCACUUAGUAAAUGUUUUCUGAUUGACUAGGAGUUCAAAAAUCUGGUAGACCACAAUUUUUGUUAACCAAGAGAAACAUGGAUAUCAUAAUUGUGAAUUUGGGAAGGGGAGACUUUUGGGCAGGAGGCUUGAAAUGUUACGAAUAAAAUGAUCCUGAGAGACCA
ensembl:lncRNA